GAUGAACGCUGGCGGCGUGCCUAAUACAUGCAAGUCGAGCGAACAGACGAGGAGCUUGCUCCUCUGACGUUAGCGGCGGACGGGUGAGUAACACGUGGAUAACCUACCUAUAAGACUGGGAUAACUUCGGGAAACCGGAGCUAAUACCGGAUAAUAUAUUGAACCGCAUUGUUCAAUAGUGAAAGACGGUUUUGCUGUCACUUAUAGAUGGAUCCGCGCCGCAUUAGCUAGUUGUUAAGGUAACGGCUUACCAAGGCAACGAUGCGUAGCCGACCUGAGAGGGUGAUCGGCCACACUGGAACUGAGACACGGUCCAGACUCCUACGGGAGGCAGCAGUAGGGAAUCUUCCGCAAUAGGCGAAAGCCUGACGGAGCAACGCCGCGUGAGUGAUGACGGUCUUCGGAUCGUAAAACUCUGUUAUUAGGGAAGAACAAAUGUGUAAGUAACUAUGCACGUCUUGACGGUACCUAAUCAGAAAGCCACGGCUAACUACGUG
rnacentral:rRNA from 1 species